rnacentral:rRNA from 1 species
UACCAGACUCCUACGGGAGGCAGCAGUGAGGAAUAUUGGUCAAUGGGCGCGAGCCUGAACCAGCCAAGUAGCGUGAAGGAUGACUGCCCUACGGGUUGUAAACUUCUUUUAUAAAGGAAUAAAGUGAGGCACGUGUGCCUUUUUGUAUGUACUUUAUGAAUAAGGAUCGGCUAACUCCGUGCCAGCAGCCGCGGUAAUACGGAGGAUCCGAGCGUUAUCCGGAUUUAUUGGGUUUAAAGGGUGCGUAGGCGGGCAUUUAAGCCGGCGGUCAAAUGUCGGGGCUCAACCCCGGCCUGCCGUCGGAACUGGGUGCCUUGAGUGGGCGAGAAGUAUGCGGAAUGCGUGGUGUAGCGGUGAAAUGCAUAGAUAUCACGCAGAACCCCGAUUGCGAAGGCAGCAUACCGGCGCCCUACUGACGCUGAGGCACGAAAGUGCGGGUAUCGAACAGGAUUAGAUACCCGGGUA